rnacentral:lncRNA from 1 species
UAAAAAUAAAGUUUAAAGAAGCUUUGAAACAUUUUAAGUUAAGUGUUUAUUUCCAGCUGUCAGCAUACAGUCAAUUUUAUCUCUAUAGACAUAUAGAUAGCUUCCAUCUCAUCUUUUCUGCUGAUUGACUGUAUUUGCAUGGUUAUGUAAGUUAAACAUUGGUUUCUCAAUUUAAUUUUUUUUUUUUUUUUUUUUUUUUGGCACCCAGGCUGUUCUCAAACCUGACCAGAAUAACCGGUGUUUAUUGGAGUGGCAGCUACAGAGCUGCAGCAGCCGGAUCAGGCUCAAAGCACCUACAGAAAGGCCUCUGAACUAGAGCCAGAGCAACUGAUUGCAUGGCAGGUCAGUCAUGGUCUAUAGUGAAUAGUCCAAAUGUAGUGUUUAUCUAGGGACACAGUUAGUUAACUAAUCAAGCUAAAUUUUAUUGCUCUUUUUUUUUUUUGAGAUACUGAAUUUGUCAUUUGUAAUUAAGUCGUAACCAUCAGAAUUAAAAAAAAAAAAACUCUUUAAAUUUUUCAGUUUGUGUGCAAUAAAUCUAGAAUAUAAGAAAGUUUGCUUUAAAAUUAUUAUUAAUAUUAAUAUUUAAUUUAAUAACUUAAUAUUAUUACAAUAAAAAUAAAGACCUUUUCCAUGAUAUUCUAUUUUUUUUUAGAUGCACCUGUAACUUCACUGACUUUUAUCUAUACAAAAUAAUUUACACAUAUUAUUUUUUAAAGCAGCCAUCAGGCUUUAUAUCUUCAUAUGUGUGAAAUGUUUGCUACUCUACCCAAAGCUGGCCAGAGCGUGGAGCAGGGAAUUCCAGGUGAGGGAGCAUUUGAAAGAACUUUGCAAUUGAUGAUAGAUGUGCCCCGUGAAGCCCACAGGAGCCUUUCACAGGACUACAUUAAAUGUCUUUCCAAGCUUCCUCAUGAGGUGUGGCCAAGCUAAAGGAAGUUUGUGAUGCCACUAUCCAACACACUCCUGCCCUCUAGAGGCCCUCAGUGAGCACUACAUCAGAACUGGUCAGUUUAGGUCAAAUUAAGUCAAUGGAGAAAAAAAAAUACACAUAACCUUUUAUUUUUUAAAUUAAUUGAAAUAGAAAACAACUGUUUUUAUUUGUAAUAAUAUUUGUAAUAAUAUUUCAUAAUAUUAUAGU